rnacentral:rRNA from 1 species
CCUACGGGAGGCAGCAGUGAGGAAUAUUGGUCAAUGGACGCAAGUCUGAACCAGCCAUGCCGCGUGAAGGAUGAAGGCCUUCUGGGUUGUAAACUUCUUUUAUCUGGGAAGAAAAGCACUGUUUCUACGGUGUCCGACGGUACCAGAGGAAUAAGCACCGGCUAACUCCGUGCCAGCAGCCGCGGUAAUACGGAGGGUGCAAGCGUUAUCCGGAUUUACUGGGUUUAAAGGGUGUGUAGGCGGGUCUUUAAGUCAGUGGUGAAAUCUCCGAGCUCAACUUGGAAACUGCCAUUGAUACUAUUGAUCUUGAAUUCUGUUGAGGUUGGCGGAAUAUGUCAUGUAGCGGUGAAAUGCAUAGAUAUGACAUAGAACUCCGAUUGCGAAGGCAGCUAACUAAGCAGAUAUUGACGCUGAGGCACGAAAGCGUGGGGAUCAAACAGGAUUAGAUACCCUGGUAGUCCACGCCCUAAACGAUGAUUACUCGACAUACGCGAUACACAGUGUGUGUCUGAGNGAAGACAUAAGUAAUACCACCCGUCGGAAGGUACGACCGACCGAAGGUUAGUAAACGUACGAAAGGAAAGUUAGUACGGACGUGAGGACGUUAGCCGACGGACGACGACGAGGGGAGGUAGG